GACUUGACAUCCCCUGAAUUACCUGUAAUGAGGGAAGCCCUUCGGGGCAGGGAGACAGGUGGUGCAUGGUUGUCGUCAGCUCGUGUCGUGAGAUGUUAGGUUAAGUCCUGCAACGAGCGCAACCCUUAUCAUUAGUUGCUACCAUUAAGUUGAGCACUCUAGUGAGACUGCCCGGGUUAACCGGGAGGAAGGUGGGGAUGACGUCAAAUCAUCAUGCCCCUUAUGUCUAGGGCUACACACGUGCUACAAUGGUGAGUACAGAAAGAUGCAAGACCGUGAGGUGGAGCAAAACUUUUAAAAUUCAUCUCAGUUCGGAUUGUAGGCUGAAACUCGCCUACAUGAAGCUGGAGUUGCUAGUAAUCGCGAAUCAGCAUGUCGCGGUGAAUACGUUCCCGGGCCUUGUACACACCGCCCGUCACACCAUGAGAGCUGGCAACACCCGAAGUCCGUGAGGUAACCGUAAGGAGCCAGCGACCGAAGGUGGGGUUAGUAAUUGGGGUGAAGUCGUAACAUUUAACGGAG
rnacentral:rRNA from 1 species